AGAUAAGCCUGUGAAUACUCCCCCAACAUCCACUCUAGAACACUUGCAAGCCAGUAGUCAACUUUUGCAAGAGCAGAGGGGAGGAGGAUUUUCGAAAUAAGAGAUCGCUCUAAUGUUCCACCAUAACCGUCAACAAGACGACAAAUAACAAGGGCAAGCUGCUCAUCCCCAAGAUUCUUUGCACAAACAGUAACAGCAGACGUUGUAUCGCCUCCAAGCAAAAAGAAAGCAAUCGCGAGCUCCAACUGAUGUUUCCCCAGUAAGACAUAGGCAUUCUUUAGAGCAGCA
rnacentral:misc_RNA from 1 species